rnacentral:rRNA from 1 species
AGUGAACGCUGGCGGUAGGCCUAACACAUGCAAGUCGAACGGCAGCACAGUAAGAGCUUGCUCUUACGGGUGGCGAGUGGCGGACGGGUGAGGAAUACAUCGGAAUCUACUUUUUCGUGGGGGAUAACGUAGGGAAACUUACGCUAAUACCGCAUACGACCUACGGGUGAAAGCAGGGGAUCUUCGGACCUUGCGCGAUUGAAUGAGACGAUGUCGGAUUAGCUAGUUGGCGGGGUAAAGGCCCACCAAGGCGACGAUCCGUAGCUGGUCCGAGAGGAUGAUCAGCCACACUGGAACUGAGACACGGUCCAGACUCCUACGGGAGGCAGCAGUGGGGAAUAUUGGACAAUGGGCGCAAGCCUGAUCCAGCCAUACCGCGUGGGUGAAGAAGGCCUUCGGGUUGUAAAGCCCUUUUGUUGGGAAAGAAAAGCAGCAGGUUAAUACCCCGCUGUUCUGACGGUACCCAAAGAAUAAGCACCGGCUAACUUCGUG